CCCCAUCUCUAUCCUUCCUCCCUACCUCACCGCCCACCUCCUCCCACUAGGGCCGGCGCCCUCUUCCCCUUCUCAGACCACAAACUCUCUCCUAGGGCUCUCCUCUGAUGUUGCCAUGGUCGCUGGUGGAGCGGUAGCCGUGCCUCGCCGCGGUGGUUCCCGCCUUAUCCCGACGUACCUCGGACCCUUUGAGGAGGUUGUGGUCGCCGUCCGGAGCUCUCCACGUGGUGCCGCUGUUGAUCUUGCAGUUAUGAAGGACGCCGUCAGAAGUUGUCCGCGUCGCCGGUGAUCUUGCAGUCAUGGAGGAUGCCAUCAGAAGUUGUCUGCGCCGCUGGUGAUCUUGCAAUCAUGGAUGGCGCAGUCAGAAGUUGUUCCGCACUUGCGUCAGCUCGCCCAUGGCAACACUUUUAUGUGCCACUACACAGCCUCCCGUACUGUCCCAUAGAUGCAGGCAGGGGCGGAUCAGGUAAGGAGGUCCAGCCUCAUCUUCUCCAUCAGUAAGGCUCCGGUAGGCUACGUCUUCCUCAUGUCUCCAUCUCCAGCCUCAUCUUCUCCAUCGGCAAGGCUCCGGUAGGCUACGUCUUCCUCAUGUCUCCAUCUCCGCUUAAGAAGAUAAGCAAAAAAGGGUAAGCAGCAACGGGGCGUGCACAGAAAGCAGUAAAGCUGGUAAAAAGGAUUGAUUUUGUUUCCUACCGGUAAACUCUUAUUGUCAUGCAUAUAGUUGACUUCUUCCUUCAAGUGAUAGUAGCUUCUGUGCCAAGUCUUUUUUUUUUGUUAAUUUUUUUACCUUUUCAUCUUGCAUUUAAGUCGACCAAUUUAUGUACCUUAAAUUCAUGAAUUUGACUGAAUAUUUUUUGGUUUGCCGUUAGAGCGUGUUUAGGGUCAGUUCACAUGUAUUUCUCAGGUUUUUCCAAACUUUUAUGGCCUUUCAUGGCGAUAUUUUUGCUUGGAUUUUGCAUUAGAAUAGUUGUAACUACAUACAGGUCAGAAAUUGGCAGGCUGUCGUCCACGAAUGAAGGAGAUCUUCAUGGGCAAAGUUCAAAAAAAACUCGCACCCAUGUGUUGUGUUUUCUACCUAGGUUCUUUUGCGGUGAGUUUUAUAAAAUUACGCACCACACUGUUUUCUAUUUGUAUGUGCAAAUCUGUAGUGAGGGAGCUAACUUCAGAAGUAUGCAGAUGCCAGGAAGCCAAUUUCAGGUGUCUGCAGCUAUUGCAUUAUGUAUGCUUACUAUUACCAAAUGGUACUUUGUUGUGGCAUAGCCGGUAGUUCCUCUUAUGUGCUUUGUAUUGCUUUUUUAGAUGUAUUCAGUGUGCUGCACACCAUCCCUUAUUUCAUAUGUCCUUUUAUCACUUCUAAUAGUCAUAACCAUUUGAUUCAAUAAAGAGUCAUGGUUUCUUUGUAUUUAGUCUUUUGUUUUACUUUUUCACUUUUAGCUUAUUCGUAUGCAGGGAGAACAAAACUUUGCAUGCUAAGGAAUAGUAAAGUAAUAUUGAGAAUGAUGCAAUUAUUUUCUUCACCUCAACAAAAAAAGUUCAGAGCUGAUCGAUAUAAUUGGCUGAUGUAUGUAAAGGAAGUUAAGUUUUAGUAUUUCAAGAAAGAGGAACAUACCAGCUGUAGUACACCAGCUCGAUUCACCUCCCAUUGUUCUAUGUCCUCCCCGACCACUUGCUGCCGACCAGUACGAACAUACCAGCUGUAGUACACCAGCUCGAUUCACCUCCCAUUGUUCUAUGUCCUCCCCGACCACUUGCUGCCGACCAGUACGAUUCUGGCUCUCCAUCUAUUGCGGCUGCUUGCCAACGAGCAGCCCCUUUUUAUCCAGGCCUCACCAAUAGAACCAGUGCCCCUGAAAAGCUAGAUCUUGAUUACCAACAAAGUUCCAUCGCCAUGCAUUCCAGCAAAAUGGAGCUUCAGUUCAUUCAGGCAAACACAGGUUUUGUCUAUAAAUAUCAUUGUUGCUUUCUAAUUUUGAUGUUUCCUUGGUUAUUUCCUACUGAGUAGUUCCUCUUCUAUGCAGUACCGACCAAAUACACCAUGCGGACUUAAUUGGUUAUAGUUGUAAACCCAAAGACCUAUCAAUGGAAAAUCCUCGCACGCAUUGGCCGCAUUUGGGAAAACAGAGACCAAAAAACACUGCAGAAUAUAUACGAUCUAGGGAUCAUUGUUGUGGACUGUGAUGUGAUAUUCUGCAGUUUUCAGCAUUGAAAUUAUUUUGUCUCCGUAUUUAGUAAAAACAAUGCCCCACUACCUCAACUUAUUUAUCUAUCCUUCUCUUCACAAAGUGAAGAUAGGUUGUGCCUACUUCGCUGCUAGGGAUGAGGUCACUAGAAUUUUACAUGUUCUCUCAUGUGAUGUGAUGUCUAUGCGUUUCAGGCUGUCAAACUUCAAGGCUUUCAACUUUCAAUGUAUAGCAUGUAUAUCGUGCUGCUGUUCCAUGUCCCAGGAUGUUAUGAAGUCCCCUUUCCAUGGCUGAUGUAACUCAACUGUGCAUCUGCUAAGUGCGUGCUUACUUGCUUGACGGUUUGCCAGGAAUGAUACACAAUGAGUAAUGGAGAUAUGGUACAAACUCCACGCCAAUGGAGCCAACGGAACCAACAUUGACCUUAACCGCGAAAGAUGAGGUGAUAGUCGGUUAAACUCUGUUCUUUGGCUCCCCUGCCAUUCCAAGGACAUGCAGAGAUGAGAUGCUCUUUGUGAUCAAUAACAAGGACUGAGCAUACUACUGAUACUACAUCCCACCUCACAUGGCCGUUAUUGUGGGCAAAAAAUCCCAGGCAAUUGCGGGCGCAAGAAUUAGUCUGCCACCACCUCCUGCCCUGCUUGGAAACUUGAGAGGUCCAAAAAUAUCAGAGGAUUGCGGCACCACAUAAGUCACGCCCACCAAAGAUGUCCUGGGACCAAUUAACUCAGACCUAGGUGAGUACAGGUCACGAGAAGAAGAAAUAGACCAAUUGGUCAGGUAAAGAUGCAAAGCCAAAGCUAAAUUGCAUAAACCAUGGCUAAACACGUAAUAUCGUGGUAAACAGUUUCGUUUGCAGAAGCUGUCGAAAUUAAUUAAGGCCAUGGUGAUUGCAAGAACUAGCCAUUCAGAGAACCUAUAUAGAAGAAUUUGAUUUCUUUGCAAUGGCUCAACCGCGACACCAAUGUAGAAUAUGAGGCACCCUUCUAGCAACUCUACAAUAGUGAACAGACCAUUGAGCUAUUGUAACAUUGAGUACCUCUAAUGAAGUAAUAUUAAGUAGCUGAAGUACUAUAAUACUAAGUCGCUUUGUGUAA